AAAAUCAUACAUACAAAGGUAGCAGCAGAUUUCACAAUUAUGUUUCUUACUGUUUUCCAGAGCUUUUAAGAAAUAUAAUUGCAAAAUCUGCUGCUACCUUUGUAUGUAUGAUUUU